rnacentral:rRNA from 1 species
CCCUUAGAUGUCCUGGGCCGCACGCGCGCUACACUGAUGCAUGCAACGAGCUUAUAACCUUGGCCUGAAAGGUCUGGGUAAUCUUUUGAACGAGCAUCGUGAUAGGGAUAGAUUAUUGCAAUUGUUAAUCUUGAACGAGGAAUUCCUAGUAAACGCGAGUCAUCAGCUCGCAUUGAUUACGUCCCUGCCCUUUGUACACACCGCCCGUCGCACCUACCGAUUGAAUGGUUCGGUGAAGAUCUCGGACUUCGAUAUUUAUUCUUUAUUGAGUUUAUAUUGUGGGAAGUUAUCUAAACCUCAUCAUUUAGAGGAAGGUGAAGUCGUAACA